UACGUAGGGUGCGAGCGUUAAUCGGAAUUACUGGGCGUAAAGCGUGCGCAGGCGGUUAUGUAAGACCGAUGUGAAAUGCCCGGGCUUAACCUGGGAACUGCAUUUGUGACUGCAUGGCUAGAGUGUGUCAGAGGGGGGUAGAAUUCCACGUGUAGCAGUGAAAUGCGUAGAUAUGUGGAGGAAUACCGAUGGCGAAGGCAGCCCCCUGGGAUAACACUGACGCUCAUGCACGAAAGCGUGGGGAGCAAACAGG
rnacentral:rRNA from 1 species